GCCUGGCUGGCUCAGUUGGUAGAGUGUGCAACUCUUGACCUCGGAGUUGUGGGUUCGAGCCCCUCGUUGGGUA
rnacentral:tRNA from 1 species